GGGAUGAUGGGAACUGGAAGCCCCUGGAGAGGACCUGGCUGAAUCUUUGAAGUGAGCCCUUCCAGGAAUCCAUUGGGUAGCUGUGCUAUUGGCAAUAAUGACUGCCACUCGGGCCUUAACUUCCCAGUGGGAGGGGAAGCAGCAUUAAUGUGCAACAGUGCUAAAAGGCCAGCUCCAACUCUGGUUCAAAGAAAUUAAUUUUUUAAAAAAUUUCUGCUUUCAGAGGUUUCUUGUCACCUCUUUGGAGCCAAAAGACAUUUGUCACCCAUUUUUUCCCCUUUUUUUGUUUUCUGUAAAGAGCCAAACUAAAGGAGAAUAAAAAGAUCUAACAAAGAGAAAUCAUUUAAGGUACAUUUCUUCUCUUCAGGAAAUUACCUGCUUUGGCUUACAUCUUUAAUGCCUCUCAGUCUUUAACAGCUAGCACAAGAAAGACAGUAAGUGUGAGAAUGGAAGAGAGAAAACAUGCAUUAUCUUGGUGGGAAAUUGCAUAGAUUUUGUUGUUGCUGCUGCUGCUGCUAAGUCACUUCAGUCGUGUCCGACUCUGUGCUACCCCACAGACAAGAGCCCACCAGGCUCCCCCGUCCCUGGGAUUCACCAGCACAGCAACCCGAAAGUGGCAACGAGAAAGAGUGAUGUCUACUUUUCCUCCUCCCAUCAUGAUCAGUAUCUGGAACUGGAUGAUAUGACAUGGAU
ensembl:lncRNA